rnacentral:rRNA from 1 species
UACGUAGGCAGCGAGCGUUGUUCGGAGUUACUGGGCGUAAAGCGUGCGUAGGCGGUCUUGUAAGUUUGGUGUGAAAUCUCCCGGCUCAACUGGGAGGGUGCGCCGAAAACUGCAAGGCUGGAGUAUGGGAGAGGUAGGCGGAAUUGACGGUGUAGCGGUGAAAUGCUUAGAUAUCGUCAAGAACACCGAUAGUGAAGACAGCUUACUAAACUAUAACUGACGCUGAGGCACGAAAGUGUGGGGAUCAAACAGG